GUAUGGCUCAGUUGGUAGAGAAUGGCGCUUGUAACGCCAAGAUUGCAGGUUCGAUUCCUGGGCCAC
rnacentral:tRNA from 1 species